AGCCUGAUCCAGCCAUGCCGCGUGUGUGAAGAAGGCCCUCGGGUUGUAAAGCACUUUCAGCGAGGAAGAACGCCUAGUGGUUAAUACCCAUUAGGAAAGACAUCACUCGCAGAAGAAGCACCGGCUAACUCCGUGCCAGCAGCCGCGGUAAUACGGAGGGUGCAAGCGUUAAUCGGAAUUACUGGGCGUAAAGCGCGCGUAGGUGGCUUGAUAAGCCGGUUGUGAAAGCCCCGGGCUCAACCUGGGAACGGCAUCCGGAACUGUCAAGCUAGAGUGCAGGAGAGGAAGGUAGAAUUCCCGGUGUAGCGGUGAAAUGCGUAGAGAUCGGGAGGAAUACCAGUGGCGAAGGCGGCCUUCUGGACUGACACUGACACUGAGGUGCGAAAGCGUGGGUAGCAAACAGGAUUAGAUACCCUGGUAGUCCACGCCGUAAACGAUGUCGACCAGCCGUUGGGUGCCUAGCGCACUUUGUGGCGAAGUUAACGCGAUAAGUCGACCGCCUGG
rnacentral:rRNA from 1 species